UGCCUAUGAACCAGAGAUGGAACCAAGA
rnacentral:piRNA from 1 species